UACGAAAUUGAAUCCUAUUCUGAACUGUGUGAUCUGAGUUCUACCGAUUUGUUAAGUGUGUUAGCUACUUUUGACUUGUAUGUCUAGUUCACUUUAAUUUCAUAGAGAAUCACCAUGUCGGUGGCGUUUGCACCUCACAGGCAGCGUGGGAAGGGUGACAUAACACCAGCUGGAAUACAAAAGUUACUUGACGAAAACAACCAGCUGAUCCAGUGUAUAAUGGACUUCCAGAGUAAAGGCAAAACAGCAGAAUGUUCACAGUAUCAACAGAUGCUGCACAGAAAUUUAGUGUACCUGGCCACGAUAGCAGACUCCAAUCAAAACAUGCAGUCUCUCCUCCCUGCUCCGCCCACUCAGAACAUGCCCUUGGGCCCUGGUGGGAUGAACCAAAGUGGGCCCCCCCCUCAGCCUCCUCAUGGUCACAACAUGCCCUCUGAGGGUAUGGUCAGCGGUGGCCCUCCAGCCCCACACAUGCAGAACCAGAUGAAUGGACAGAUGCCUGGGCCUAAUCACAUGCCCAUGCAAGGUCCCGGUCCAGGCCCCAACCAGCCCCCAAACAUGCCCAGUGGCUCUAUGAAUAUGCCCCCCAGCAGCCAUGGUUCGAUGGGUGGUUACAAUCACACUGUCCCUUCUUCUCAGGGCAUACCAGCUCAGAGCCAAAUGAACAUGACCCAGGGCCAGCCCAUGGGAAACUAUGGGCCUCGGCCAAACAUGAACAUGCAACCCAGUCAAGGCCCCAUGAUGCACCAGCAGCCUCCCACUCAGCAGUAUAACAUGCCUCCUGGUGGUGGUGGACAGCACUACCAAGGACAACAGACCCCAAUGGGCAUGAUGGGCCAGGUUAACCAAGGGAACCAUGUCAUGGGGCAGAGGCCAAUGCCCCCCUACCGACCCCCACAGCAAGGACCCCCUCAGCAGUACCCAGGGCAGGAAGACUACUAUGGGGACCAGUACAGUCACGCAGGACAGGGAGCCUCAGAAGGUAAUGCCCAGUAUGGCCAACAGCAGGAAGCAUACCAGCAAGGCCCUCCGCAGCAGCAGGGCUACCCUCCUCAACAGCAGUACCCAGGUCAACAGGGCUACCCACCACAGCAGCAGGGUUACGGUCCUGCCCAAAGUGCCCCGGGACAGUAUCCCAAUUAUCCUCAGGGGCAGGGACAACAGUAUGGGGGCUAUCGCCCUCCCCAACCUGGACCCCCACAGGGCCAACAGCAACGCCCCUAUGGCUAUGACCAGGUGAGUAUACCCACAACACCGGACAGUCCCAGCAGCUUGUUAUUGCAUCGGCCUUAGGUUGUCCCUUUUUAUUAUGUUGAUUGCCAGACUUGGUUGUAUAUUUUGUGUAGUGAGACCAGAGACCAAUGUGAGUGAAUCUAGAAGGUAAAUAUUAAAAGGUAGUAUGUUUUUGCAUGCUGUCAUCAUAUUGUUGGCUUAAAUCUGUUCUUCCCAAGAGAGUGUAUGUGUUACUAUUGUCGUUCACUUGUUUAUUUGAGUCUUACAUAUCCUGGCUAAUAAGGUAUGCCAGUUCAGUGAAAUAUGUGGGCUUUACAGGGAUUCUUCCUUAAACUUGAUGUAGACUGCUCUAGUGUUUAAAGGGAGAUCUAUAUGUUGCCCUGUAUUUCCUGUGGUCUUAUGUGGGGACCACAGCUACACUUUGAUAUCUUUAUCUUUGAAUAUUCAGGGGCACAUCAGGAAAUAAAGACCCGGGGAUUUGAACCCCUGACUAGCUCUGUAAGAAGCAAAGGGCCAGUAUGGAAAUUACCAGCAAUGAGAGAUGGUC